rnacentral:rRNA from 1 species
AACGAACGCUGGCGGCAUGCCUAACACAUGCCAGUCGAACGAGACCUUCGGGUCUAGUGGCGCAGGGGUGAGUAACGUGUGGGAACCUGCCCUUAGGUUCGGAAUAACUCCCCGCAAGGGGUGCUAAUACCGGUUAAUGUCUUCGGACCAAAGAUUUAUCACCUUUGGGUGGGUCUGCGUUGGAUUAGCUAGUUGGUAGGGUAAAAGCCUACCAAGGCGAGGAUCCAUAGCUGGUCUGAGAGGAUGAUCAGCCACACUGGGACUGAGACACGGCCCAGACUCCUACGGGAGGCAGCAGUGGGGAAUAUUGGACAAGGGGCGAAAGCCUGAUACAGCCAUGCCGCGUGAGUGAUGAAGGCCUUAGGGUUGUAAAGCUCUUUUACCCGAGAUGAUAAUGACGGUACCGGGAGAAUAAGCUCCGGCUAACUCCGUG